CGUAACAAGGUCUCCGUUGGUGAACCAGCGGAGGGAUCAUUACCGAGUUUACAACUCCCAAACCCCUGUGAACAUACCUAUACGUUGCCUCGGCGGAUCAGCCCGCGCCCCGUAAAAAGGGACGGCCCGCCCGAGGACCCCUAAACUCUGUUUUUAGUGGAACUUCUGAGUAAAACAAACAAAUAAAUCAAAACUUUCAACAACGGAUCUCUUGGUUCUGGCAUCGAUGAAGAACGCAGCAAAAUGCGAUAAGUAAUGUGAAUUGCAGAAUUCAGUGAAUCAUCGAAUCUUUGAACGCACAUUGCGCCCGCCAGUAUUCUGGCGGGCAUGCCUGUUCGAGCGUCAUUUCAACCCUCAAGCUCAGCUUGGUGUUGGGACUCGCGGUAACCCGCGUUCCCCAAAUCGAUUGGCGGUCACGUCGAGCUUCCAUAGCGUAGUAAUCAUACACCUCGUUACUGGUAAUCGUCGCGGCCACGCCGUAAAACCCCAACUUCUGAAUGUUGACCUCGGAUCAGGUAG
rnacentral:rRNA from 1 species